CGAACGCUGGCGGCAAGCCUAACACAUGCAAGUCGAACGGACAAUUGCUUAUAACCUUUUGGUUAUAAAUAAUUGUUAGUGGCAGACGGGUGAGUAAUGCGUAGGAAUCUACCUAGUAGUAUGGAAUAGCCAUUAGAAAUGAUGGGUAAUACUGUAUAAUCCCUGCGGGGGAAAGAUUUAUCGCUAUUAGAUGAGCCUACGUUAGAUUAGCUAGUUGGUAAGGUAAUGGCUUACCAAGGCUAUGAUCUAUAGCUGGUCUGAGAGGACGAUCAGCCACACUGGAACUGAGAUACGGUCCAGACUCCUACGGGAGGCAGCAGUGGGGAAUAUUGGACAAUGGGCGAAAGCCUGAUCCAGCUAUGCCGCGUGAGUGAAGAAGGCCUUCGGGUUGUAAAACUCUUUCAAUAGGGAAGAUAAUGACGGUACCUAUAGAAGAAGUCCC
rnacentral:rRNA from 1 species